ACACACCAGUUUCAAGUGCAGAGUAGAGUCCUGUGCAGGUCUGUGUUUUUUCACACCCGUGCCCAUUCUUCAUCCGCUUACCCUAAACCCAACCCGUACCCACCCAGGAAGCCUAUCCGAUCCCUUCACACAUUAAGCGUUUCACCGGCCGGAAGUGACGCCAUUUAAACCAGAAGCGAUGUCACCGAGCAAUUGUUUUUAUAUUGUAAAAGUUUGCUUUGGGGAUGAGGAAGUGCCAUGCAAAAAAGAAACGCUCUGAGCAGUCACAGCUUUGAAGAGGAUGCGGCGACUAUUAUAAAUAGGACUUCUUCAGUAUAAUGAGCACUGGCUAUUUGUCCAUCAAAGAUCUGACACCAAUCUAUUGGGACAAAUGCAUAUUUUAUUACAUGUACGCCUUUCAUAUUAUUGACUGAUAUGGCUUUCAUGCACAGGUGGAUAUUGUUUACAGAGGGCAUGAAAAUUUAGUUUCUGAUACAGCUGCCAAGCCAAAUAUUUACAUGUCAAACUCUUCUGGAGAAUGAAAAUUUCCACACCUGUGCACUGGAGUAUCCUGGAGCCAGUUUUUCAUGACUGAAUAAAAUGCAUAAAGAGCAUUUUUUCACAUAAACAACUCAAUUCAUUAGCACAAAUGUUGCUUCUUGUAAAAAUGUUUCUGAUUUGUUUGCAUACUCCAUCUUAUGUAUAAAAUAUAUAUCAUAUAUGUUCA